rnacentral:tRNA from 1 species
AUUGAGUUGGCAGAGUUUAUGUGGUUGGCUUAGGACCAUCUUAGAGAGGUUUAAUCCUUUACUUAAUA